GUAGGUGGCAAGCGUUGUCCGGAAUUAUUGGGCGUAAAGCGCGCGCAGGCGGUUCUUUAAGUCUGAUGUGAAAGCCCACGGCUCAACCGUGGAGGGUCAUUGGAAACUGGAGAACUUGAGUACAGAAGAGGAAAGCGGAAUUCCACGUGUAGCGGUGAAAUGCGUAGAGAUGUGGAGGAACACCAGUGGCGAAGGCGGCUUUCUGGUCUGUAACUGACGCUGAGGCGCGAAAGCGUGGGGAGCAAACAGGACUAGAUACCCUGGUAGUCCACGCCGUAAACGAUGAGUGCUAAGUGUUAGGGGGUUUCCGCCCCCUUAGUGCUGCAGCUAACGCAUUAAGCACUCCGCCUGGGGAGUACGGCCGCAAGGCUG
rnacentral:rRNA from 1 species